GAUGAACGCUGGCGGCAUGCCUAAUACAUGCAAGUCGAACGCUUCUGACUUCGGUCAUAUAGAAGAGUGGCGAACGGGUGAGUAACACGUAAGGAACCUGCCCCAAAGACGAGGAUAAGCACUGGAAACGGUGUCUAAUACUGGAUAGGUGAUAAGAUUGCAUGAUCUAAUCAUUAAAGAUGCGUAUGCAUUACUUUGGGAUGGCCUUGCGCCGCAUUAGCUAGUUGGUAGUGUAACGGACUACCAAGGCAACGAUGCGUAACCGGGCUGAGAGGCUGAACGGUCACACUGGAACUGAGACACGGUCCAGACAACUACGGUUGGCAGCAGUAGGGAAUUAUCCACAAUGGGCGAAAGCCUGAUGGUGCAAUGCCGCGUGAAUGAUGAAGGCCUUCGGGUCGUAAAAUUCUGUUGUAUAGGAGAACAGCAUAUAUAGGAAAUGAUAUAUGUGUGACGGUACUAUACCAGAAAGCCCC
rnacentral:rRNA from 1 species